UUCUAAUAUAUAUUGAUUGCAAGGUGUUUGUUAAUGGAGAGCGAUGAGGUCUACUAUAGAUUUUGGCCGAGAUAGGAGGACAGGAUCCGAUGGUGGCCAUCGAUUUGAGUUUUUCUGUCAUUUCUAUUUGGUCUUCUUUUGUUGACUGUUUCUUUGUCUAUGAUGGUUUCAGGUUUUUCAUGGCAGUGCUUGCUCUGACGCAAGUGCAAGGAAUUGAAGGGACAGAUCAGAGAUGCGCUUUAUCUGUUAAGAAAGAAGCUAUGGCUCUAAGAAAAUAAAUUUGAGAAGCACUUCACUUCUGCUGUGGAUAAUGCGUGUCAUGUAAGGGGAUUUUGCUAUUUGAAUCAUGUAUAUUUGGAGUAUUGCUUUCACUAAGUAAAAUGAUUAUUUUGAGGUGCUAUUGUGACUACUGCGAGAGUGAGACCAGAUGGCUUGGUCUUCACUACUGCUUACGAUUUAAUCGUCGAGGAGAGAAGCAAGUCUUUCGGAAGCAUUGGGUUGAGGCUGCCUUACUCUCUCCUUGAUUCACUAGCAGGUACCAACACCGGAGAGGGGAUGAAGCAUCGCUUUCCCUAUUGAGAUAGGGAAAUCUGCAUACUGGCUCACAGCCCCAAAGGUUCUGCUCUUAUUAAAAGAGUGUGGUAGGAGAAGGUCCCUGGAUAACCAAAGUUCAGAGUUUUUAAGAUCAACCCCAUUGAGCUCUUCCCAGCACCUUUUCUUGGAUAUGCAGCAGGUUAUCAAUGAGUAGAGAGAUGACCAUUUUAUCAUUGAGAAGGUCCAAAAGAGGGUGAGGGAAGGCAAGCGACAACAACUAAUGGACUGAUACUUCAUAGAGAAAUGACAUAUAUAAGAAGGGAUAGAAAUAAAAAGCAUGAAAUGAAUAUCUAUAAAAAAAAACUAGCUAAAGGAAUACUAAAGCUCUGGCUUGGUUAUUGACAUUGUUCUAUUGUGUUCUAUUGUUCUAUUGUGUUCUAAAUGAAUACUAAAGCUCUGACUUGGUUUAAGGUUGGCUCUACUGUUUAGCUUA